AUUUAUUUUACAGGUAACUGUACAUAAAGGUCACAUUUAUGUCUUGAGCAAUGGGGAUGAGUGCAGCCACAUUUCCGUUGAACGAUACGAUCCUCAGCAAAACACAUGGUCACAGAUUUGCUCUUUGGAAGUUAGUCCUGGUAGGAUGACUUGCGUAUCGCUAGAAAAUAAACUGUGGGUUAUUGGUGGCAAAUCUAAAUCUACUGACAAGACAUGUGUUUCAGUUUUUGAUGAAGAAAUUUUCUGUUGGGUAGAAAGUGGCUCAUUACCCGAAAGUAUAGUGUAUAACAGUUUUGUGGUGCCUGAAUCCUUGCUAUCGCCGAUGUGAAUAAAAAUAAUGUACUUAUUGUUCUCUUUUUCGAUUUAACAAAUAAUUUUAUAAUAAAUUAUCUUAUAAAAAUAAUAUAAAGCUUCACUAUUGUCAUACAAAAA